GACGAACGCUGGCGGCGUGCCUAAUACAUGCAAGUAGAACGCUGAAGGAGGAGCUUGCUUCUCUGGAUGAGUUGCGAACGGGUGAGUAACGCGUAGGUAACCUGCCUGGUAGCGGGGGAUAACUAUUGGAAACGAUAGCUAAUACCGCAUAAUAGUAGAUGUUGCAUGACAUUUGCUUAAAAGGUGCAAUUGCAUCACUACCAGAUGGACCUGCGUUGUAUUAGCUAGUUGGUGGGGUAACGGCUCACCAAGGCGACGAUACAUAGCCGACCUGAGAGGGUGAUCGGCAACACUGGGACUGUGACACGGCCCAGACUCCUACUGGAGGCAGCAGUAGGGAAUCUUCGGCAAUGGACGGAAGUCUGACCGAGCAACGCCGCGUGAGUGAAGAAGGUUUUCGGAUCGUAAAGCUCUGUUGUAAGAGAAGAACGAGUGUGAGAGUGGAAAGUUCACACUGUGACGGUAUCUUACCAGAAAGGGACGGCUAACUACGUG
rnacentral:rRNA from 1 species